rnacentral:piRNA from 1 species
UCCUACCGGUUCUUGCCUUUGCCAG